ACGCUGGCGGCAGGCCUAACACAUGCAAGUCGAGCGGUAGCACGGGAGAGCUUGCUCUCUGGGUGACGAGCGGCGGACGGGUGAGUAAUGUCUGGGAAACUGCCUGAUGGAGGGGGAUAACUACUGGAAACGGUAGCUAAUACCGCAUGACCUCGCAAGAGCAAAGUGGGGGACCUUCGGGCCUCACGCCAUCGGAUGUGCCCAGAUGGGAUUAGCUAGUAGGUGGGGUAAUGGCUCACCUAGACGACGAUCCCUAGCUGGUCUGAGAGGAUGACCAGCCACACUGGAACUGAGACACGGUCCAGACUCCUACGGGAGGCAGCAGUGGGGAAUAUUGCACAAUGGGCGCAAGCCUGAUGCAGCCAUGCCGCGUGUGUGAAGAAGGCCUUAGGGUUGUAAAGCACUUUCAGCGAGGAGGAAGGCGUUGUAGUUAAUAGCUGCAGCGAUUGACGUUACUCGCAGAAGAAGCACCGGCUAACUCCGUGCCAGCAGCCGCGGUAAUACGGAGGGUGCAAGCGUUAAUCGGAAUUACUGGGCGUAAAGCGCACGCAGGCGGUUUGUUAAGUCAGAUGUGAAAUCCCCGAGCUUAACUUGGGAACUGCAUUUGAAACUGGCAAGCUAGAGUCUUGUAGAGGGGGGUAGAAUUCCAGGUGUAGCGGUGAAAUGCGUAGAGAUCUGGAGGAAUACCGGUGGCGAAGGCGGCCCCCUGGACAAAGACUGACGCUCAGGUGCGAAAGCGUGGGGAGCAAAC
rnacentral:rRNA from 1 species